GUCCAGACUCCUACGGGAGGCAGCAGUGAGGAAUAUUGGUCAAUGGUCGGGAGACUGAACCAGCCAAGCCGCGUGAGGGAUGAAGGUACAGAGUAUCGUAAACCUCUUUUGUCAGGGAACAAAGGCGGGGACGUGUCCCCGGAUGAGUGUACCUGAAGAAAAAGCAUCGGCUAACUCCGUGCCAGCAGCCGCGGUAAUACGGAGGAUGCGAGCGUUAUCCGGAUUUAUUGGGUUUAAAGGGUGCGCAGGCGGCACGGCAAGCCGGCGGUCAAAUCGCGGGGCUCAACCCCGCCCAGCCGUCGGAACUGCCGGGCUGGAGUUGGAGAGAAGUACGCGGAAUGCGCGGUGUAGCGGUGAAAUGCUUAGAUAUCGCGCAGAACCCCGAUUGCGAAGGCAGCGUACCGGCUCCACACUGACGCUGAGGCACGAAAGCGUGGGUAUCGAACAGGAUUAGAUACCCCUGUA
rnacentral:rRNA from 1 species